CGCUCAGCUUAGCUUGCGGAGCCUGGCAACGCGCGUGCUAGAGGCGGCGGGCGCGGGCUCCGGGGGAGGAGGGCAGCGAAGAGGAGGAAGGCGCAGCCCGCGCGAAGGGGACGUGGCUUCUGGGGAGCCUCCACAGCCCAAAGAGAAUGCUGAAAUGCAGAGUGCCAGAAGGAGGCAUUUGAAGGAGGAGCAGGUCCCCGGAGCUGCAAGGCUGUAGCCUGGAACACUCAGAAACGGGCACUGUUCAUUUCUCCCAUCUAGCAGAACUUCUCAACUUGGAAGAACAUGCCACCACACCUUAGUAAAGCAGCUUACUGUUCCGGAGCCCUUUCCUGAAUAAAGCAGUUUCCCAUCUAAGCCAUUAGGUUGAGCAGAUACUGUUAGACCCAUUUGAGGUGGAGCGUCAUUGAUCCCAUUUAUCAGAUAAAGGAAUUGAAGUUCUAAAAGGGUAAUUACGAUUCCGUAGUGACCCAAUGUGCAGGAGUAGCCUCAAGCUCCGUUCCCUGCCUCUAAGUCACUGCUCUUUCACUUGCCCAGUCUCUGAAUUGACUUUUGAGGCAGGUUUUGUUUUGACAAGAGAACACCUGCCUGGGCUGCAGCCAGGACUCGCCUUUGUCUCCUGGGUGCAGUUUGAAUUUGAAAGUGGACUCUUCCUAAUGUAGCAAGCAGGCACCUUGUUGAGUGCAGCCUAACCCGUGGGGCCCCAGGUCACCGCUGGCUGUGUUCCCUCCAAAAGUGAGGGUUGCAGAAAGUAAAGGAAGAAAAUAAUUUUGCAGUUGUAUCCUGUAUUGAGUUCUUCUGGACCCUUUAUACCCUCGAUUCUUUGAAAGUUUUCAGGCUUCAGAACUUUACACACAGGCUUUCCCAGCUGAUGUGUUGAGCAUGGAUACUUUUUUUUUUUUUUUCCUGUUUUUACAUUGUUUCUCUGUUUUCGAAUGAACAUGUAACUCCUCUUUCCCAGUUGCAGGGUGUGCUCCCUUGUUUUAUACUUGCACAUCUCUUUGCCUGGAUACAUCCCAAGUGCUGAACAAAUACCUAGCAGUUGAUGGUUACUGAAAACAAACCACAUUGGAUUGUGGUGUCAAGAAAUUGAUGUCUGUUGAAGAAAGACAGUAGUUUGAGAGAGAAAGGAAGAAAAUUCAUGAAAUCAAUGUAGUGGAUUUAAAAAUAUACUAUUUUUUUAUUUGUCCCAUGCUGCUCACUUAGCUGCAAGAUCCCCAGCUGUCUGUUGUCUUUUCUUGACACUCCCCCCAACACACACACACACACACACACACACACUCCUUAGUGUUUCUACAAUUCAAAUGGGCCUUACGUUUCAUUGCAAAAGAAACUCACAGGGCCGGGACGUGUAUGUAAAGAGACGGGUGUCACCCACUCCUGGCAGAUGCAGCAGCUCAAAAGGGUUCCUGGUGGGAACCUCAGUGGCCCAGCACACGAUGGGCAGUUUCUCUUACCUGUGAUUCCCUUAUUGUGGCUUGAAAUAUUAUCUAGUAUGCUGUGAUAUAGCAUUAAAAUAGAGACUUUCAAGAAAGUCAGUGAGGAGCUGUCACAUAUUAGGCAAUGGGACACAGUAGAAAUUGCCAAGUCUCUUGGAAAUUGGGGUAACCUCAACAAUGCUUAUCUCAGAAGAGGUUACAGAACUUUCAGAGUUAAGAGAGGUCUGUGGACCACCUCCUGUGCUGGGAAGAACUGUCACUCAGGCACCGAGCAAGCUGCCACACCUUCCAGCCAACAUUUUUUUUUUAACUCUCAACUUUUAAGUUCA